rnacentral:rRNA from 1 species
UACGUAGGGGGCAAGCGUUGUCCGGAAUCAUUGGGCGUAAAGCGCGUGUAGGCGGCCAGGUAAGUCCGUUCUGAAAGCCCGGGGCUCAACCCCGGGAGGCGGAUGGAUACUGCUUGGCUCGAGUCCGGAAGAGGCGAGUGGAAUUCCCGGUGUAGCGGUGAAAUGCGCAGAUAUCAGGAGGAACACCGGUGGCGAAGGCGGGUCUCUGGGCAAUAACUGACGCUGAGGAGCGAAAGCGUGGGGAGCGAACAGG